rnacentral:rRNA from 1 species
UACGAAGGGGGCUAGCGUUGCUCGGAAUUACUGGGCGUAAAGCGCACGUAGGCGGGUCGAUAAGUCGGGGGUGAAAUCCUGGAGCUCAACUCCAGAACUGCCUUCGAAACUGACGAUCUUGAGUUCGGGAGAGGUGAGUGGAACUGCGAGUGUAGAGGUGAAAUUCGUAGAUAUUCGCAAGAACACCAGUGGCGAAGGCGGCUCACUGGCCCGAUACUGACGCUGAGGUGCGAAAGCGUGGGGAGCAAACAGG